CUUUCAUUGUUGUUUAUCUUUGGUUUUAUUUCUUUAAUCAAUAAUGAUUCUAAAAUUCUUAGGUCAAUGACAUCAUUUGCUUUUCUCAAUAUUGUGAAGUCAUCUAAUUUUAUUACAUGGUUUGUAUUAAGAGAGUGAUCUCGAAUUAAUGAAUAAGUUGGAGAGGAUAGUGGACGUAAUGUCCUAUAAGGGACCCCUGAAGUUAGGUGAUGAUAGUUAGAUUGAAGUAAGACAACGGGGAGGCAGAGAGAGAUGCGCAGCGCUUUUUAGGAAGCUAUAUAUUAUUGUUUUUUUCCAGGUUAAAAUGGGACCACGACGUAAUCGUAAAAACGAAAAUCUGCUGCCAGCGCCGAGACAGUAGCUCAACGGCAGGUUGAGGUAAAAGGAGUGUUGACUGGGAGCGAGAUGCUGCGGACCAUUUCAAAAUGAAGAAUAGCAAAGGCGCUGGUGGCAACAAGAAGAAGACUCGCAAGUAAUGCACAGUAUUAUGUUCCUAUGUUUCAAUUAAUGGACAGAGGGAAUAUUAUUAUUCAGACAGAAUAUUAUUUAUUAUUCAGACAGAAUAUUAUUUAUUAAAGUGUUACAGGUA